UACGGAGGGUGCAAACGUUGCUCGGAAUCAUUGGGCGUAAAGCGCACGUAGGCGGCCUGAUAAGUCGGGUGUGAAAGCCCUGGGCUCAACCCAGGAAGUGCACUCGAAACUGUCAGGCUUGAAUAUGGAAGAGGGUCGCGGAAUUCCCGGUGUAGAGGUGAAAUUCGUAGAUAUUCGCAAGAACACCGGUGGCGAAGGCGGCCAACUGGACCAUUACUGACGCUGAGGCGCGAAAGCGUGGGGAGCAAACAGG
rnacentral:rRNA from 1 species